UACGUAGGGUGCGAGCGUUAAUCGGAAUUACUGGGCGUAAAGCGUGCGCAGGCGGUUUUGUAAGCCAGAUGUGAAAGCCCCGGGCUUAACCUGGGAACUGCAUUUGUGACUGCAUGGCUAGAGUUUGGCAGAGGGGGGUAGAAUUCCACGUGUAGCAGUGAAAUGCGUAGAUAUGUGGAGGAACACCGAUGGCGAAGGCAGCCCCCUGGGUCAAGACUGACGCUCAUGCACGAAAGCGUGGGGAGCAAACAGG
rnacentral:rRNA from 1 species